AUGGCCACAAGACUUGUGGGUUCAGGUAGGAGUGUGUCCCUCGUGUUUCCGGGAGCAGAGUCUGCGGAGGCUGUCGUGGUGACCACCGCUGAUGUCACUGCGGGUGUGCUGCUGCUGACGCUGGAGAGGGCUGAUGCACCUGAAGAGGAAGAUGGCUCCCGAGAAAGUGUCACUGCCAGACUGUUCCCGCCUGGGGAGGACGAACGAGCUGUCAUAGUCACCGAUGUGCAGGGAUUUGCCCUGGAGCGGAGGAGUGGAGUAGAGUGGAGGAUCUGGAGCGGAGUUCGUCCUGGUAACCACUGCUGGUGUCACUGA
rnacentral:lncRNA from 1 species